rnacentral:rRNA from 1 species
AUUGAACGCUGGCGGCAUGCCUUACACAUGCAAGUCGAACGGUAGCGGGCCUUCGGGUGCCGACGAGUGGCGAACGGGUGAGUAAUACAUCGGAACGUGCCCGAUCGUGGGGGAUAACGAGGCGAAAGCUUUGCUAAUACCGCAUACGAUCUACGGAUGAAAGCAGGGGACCGCAAGGCCUUGCGCGGACGGAGCGGCCGAUGGCAGAUUAGGUAGUUGGUGGGAUAAAAGCUUACCAAGCCGACGAUCUGUAGCUGGUCUGAGAGGAUGAUCAGCCACACUGGGACUGAGACACGGCCCAGACUCCUACGGGAGGCAGCAGUGGGGAAUUUUGGACAAUGGGCGCAAGCCUGAUCCAGCCAUGCCGCGUGCAGGAUGAAGGCCUUCGGGUUGUAAACUGCUUUUGUACGGAACGAAAAGCCUUCUUUUAAUACAGGAGGGUCAUUACGGUACCGUAAGAAUAAGCACCGGCUAACUACGUG